UACGGAGGGGGCUAGCGUUGUCCGAAGUUACUGGGCGUAAAGCGCGCGUAGGCGGGUUGGUAAGUCCGCUGUGAAAGCCCGGGGCUUAACCCCGGGUCUGCAUUCGAUACGGGCAGGCUAGAGUGUGGUAGGGGAGAUCGGAAUUCCUGGUGUAGCGGUGAAAUGCGCAGAUAUCAGGAGGAACACCGGUGGCGAAGGCGGAUCUCUGGGCCAUUACUGACGCUGAGGAGCGAAAGCGUGGGGAGCGAACAGG
rnacentral:rRNA from 1 species